GGGGGGGGGGGGGGGGGGGCGGGAGGGGGGGGGGGGGGGCGAGGCCGUCGGGUGGAGGUGGGGAGGGGUGGGUGACGCGUGGGAAGCUGGCGGUGGGGGCCGGCUACCUGCCCGGAAGGGAUGCUAGUAGCUGGGGCUGGCCUCGGGCCAAAGAUGUGUCGACGCUGGAUGGCGACGGGUUGGCUUAGCUAGUGUGGAGGGUACAAGCCUAACCAGGCGACGAUCCAUAGCUGGUCUGAGAGGAUGAUCAGCCACACUGGGACUGAGACACGGCCCAGACUCCUACGGGAGGGAGCAGUAGGGAAUAUUGGAGGAUGGGCGAAAGCCUGAUCCAGCAAUGCCGCGUGAGUGAUGACGGCCUUAGGGUUGCAAAGCUCUUUUACCCGGGCUGAUAAUGACAGUACCGGGAGAAGAAGCUCCGGCUAACUCCGUG
rnacentral:rRNA from 1 species